rnacentral:lncRNA from 1 species
CAGUAUGUGAACAUAAAUAUUCAUCGCAACAUUAUCCAUAAUAACCUAAAACUGGCAUCAACCCAAAGGCCCAUCAAGAGGUAAAUGGGUAAACAAAUCGUGACACGCUUAUUGAAUGGGAUGCUGCUGUGCAAUAAAAAGAAAUUAACUACUGAUACAUGCAGUAGCAUGGAUGAAUCUCACAAACAUUAUUCUGAAUGAAAGAAGCCAGGCACAAAAGACUACACAUUUAUAUUGUUCCAUUUAUAUGAAAUUCUAAGACAGACAAAAGCCAUCUAUCAUGACAGAAUGUAAAUCAGUAGUUGCCUAUAUUCAGCAGGUGGGAGGGAUUAAUUGGAAUUACUUUUGGGGGCAAUAGAAAUGGUCUAUGUCCUGUUUGGAAUGGGAUGUCCGUGUGUGUGUAUAUAUGUUUUAUAUAUGCAUAUUUAAAUCCCUAAACACCCCUCCAGCUGCUACUCUUUCUCUCCCCACUUUUCAUCUAGUCAUCUUAAGAAACUUGUCUGUGUUUGUGCUCGCUUUGGCAGCACAUAUACUAAAAAAAAGAAACUUGUCUGUGUUCACUCUGCACUUUCUCAUCUCCCUCAACUAACUGCAGUCUGGCUGCUGUGCUACUCUCCCCGCUCCAAUGUCAUAAAAACUAUUAAUAUUCUUUAUAAAAUGUUUAUAGUAGCUUUAAUUCAUAAUAUGUAUCAAAAAACCGAAUACAACUCAGGCAUCUAACAAUAGGAGAAUGGAUAAACUAACUGUGUUAUAGCCCAGCAAUGGAAUACCACUCAACAAUAAAAACAAACUACAGAUACACACACAAUAUGAAUUAAUCUCAAAAUCAUUAUGCUGAAAGAAGGAAACCAUACCCAAGAGAGUAUACCUGGUAAGAAUCUAUCUAUACAAAUUUCUAGAACAGGCAAAACUAGUCUACGGGGGAAAAUAUCAAAAGAGUGACCAGGCACAGUGGCUCAUGCCUGUAAUCCCAAUAUUUUAGGAGGCCAAGGCAGGUGGAUCACCUGAGGUCAGGAGUUCAAGACCAGCCUGGUCAACAUGGUAAAACCUCAUCUCUACUAAAAAUACAAAAAUUAGCUGGGCAUGGUGGUGCACACCUGUAAUCCCAGCUACUCAGGAGGCUGGCUGAGGCAGGAGAUCGCUUGAAUCCAGAAGGUGGAAGUUGCAGUGAGCCGAGAUCACACCACUGGUUGAACUCAGAAGGCGGAGGUUGCAGUGAGCCGAGAUUGCACCACUGCACUCCAGCCUGCAUGACAGAGAGAGACUCCAUCUCAAAAAAUAUAUAUAUAUUAUUUAUAUAUAUAAUAUAUACAUGUAUUAUAUGUAUGUGUAUAUGUGUGUGUGUAUAUAUUUUUUUAAAUAUAUAUAAAAAGAAUGGUUGCUUCUGAGGAGGUGUAGGGAUUGUCCAGGAGGCGACA